AUACGUAGGGGACAAGCGUUGUCCGGAAUCACUGGGCGUAAAGGGCGCGUAGGCGGUUUUAUAAGUCAGAUGUGAAAGGUACCGGCUCAACCGGUGACGUGCAUUUGAAACUGUAAGACUUGAGUACUGGAGAGGCCAGUGGAAUUCCUAGUGUAGCGGUGAAAUACGUAUAUAUUAGGAGGAACACCGGUGGCGAAGGCGGCUUGCUGGACAGAUACUGACUCUGAGGGGCGAAAGCGUGGGGGGCGAAAAGGAUUAGAUACCCUGGUAGUCCACGCCGUAAACGAUGAUGACUAGGUGUUGGGGAAACUCAGUGCCUCAGGUAACACAUUAAGUCAUCCGCCUGGGGAGUACGAUCGCAAGGUUGAAACUCAAAGGAAUUGGCGGGG
rnacentral:rRNA from 1 species